rnacentral:rRNA from 1 species
UCGACGAUGAAUCUUCUAGCUUGCUAGAAGUGGAUUAGUGGCGCACGGGUGAGUAAUGCAUAGGUUAUGUGCCCUUUAGUCUGGGAUAGCCACUGGAAACGGUGAUUAAUACUGGAUACUCCCUACGGGGGAAAGUUUUUCGCUAAAGGAUCAGCCUAUGUCCUAUCAGCUUGUUGGUGAGGUAAUGGCUCACCAAGGCUAUGACGGGUAUCCGGCCUGAGAGGGUGAUCGGACACACUGGAACUGAGACACGGUCCAGACUCCUACGGGAGGCAGCAGUAGGGAAUAUUGCUCAAUGGGGGAAACCCUGAAGCAGCAACGCCGCGUGGAGGAUGAAGGUUUUAGGAUUGUAAACUCCUUUUGUUAGAGAAGAUUAUGACGGUAUCUAACGAAUAAGCACCGGCUAACUCCGUGCCAGCAGCCGCGGUAAUACGGAGGGUGCAAGCGUUACUCGGAAUCACUGGGCGUAAAGAGUGCGUAGGCGGGGUAAUAAGUCAGAUGUGAAAUCCUGUAGCUUAACUACAGAACUGCAUUUGAAACUGUUACUCUGGAGUGUGGGAGAGGUAGGUGGAAUUCUUGGUGUAGGGGUAAAAUCCGUAGAGAUCAAGAGGAAUACUCAUUGCGAAGGCGACCUGCUGGAACAUUACUGACGCUGAUGCACGAAAGCGUGGGGAGCAAACAGGAUUAGAUACCCUGGUAGUCCACGCCCUAAACGAUGGAUGCUAGUUGUUGCCUUGCUUGUCAGGGCAGUAAUGCAGCUAACGCAUUAAGCAUCCCGCCUGGGGAGUACGGUCGCAAGAUUAAAACUCAAAGGAAUAGACGGGGACCCGCACAAGCGGUGGAGCAUGUGGUUUAAUUCGAAGGUACGCGAAGAACCUUACCUAGGCUU